GAACUGAAAUUCUUCACAGAAACAAAUCUGUGAAAACUUCAAAUAAAGGUAGCACAAAAAGGCCCAUCUUACAGAUAUUGUUACUUGCUCUUCAACCAACUAGGUGGCUCGGAGACUUACUGAAUAUCGUGUGCUACAUGUAAGUCUGGGACAGCACCAUUUCAAGAUCCAUUUCAUUCCAAUUGUGCAAAAUGUCGAACCUGAGUGAUGGUGAAUCCAACCAAGCCUAUCCAGGAUCAUUAAAAUCACAGGUUGUGUGCUUUAACAUCCUCCUCUACUCUCCACCACAUACAUCUUAAAUCAUUAGGGAAAAAUCCUAUCAAAUGGAACAAAUAUCAAUGCAGGAAUUCCAAUAAUUUUCAGACAAAAGCAAUAAAUAGUACUCCCAAACUUUACCCUCCACUUUCAAUUUCAUAGCAUGGAUUGCAAAAACUUAGAGAAUGCCCAUUAAAAAGUAUUUAUUAUUUACUUUGAUCCACAUGUCUCACCAUUUUGAAAAAGUCUACGCUGAAAACGGGAACAUCAACUUCGGUGGUGGAUGGCUUUCGAAAGCGAAGGCUGGUCAUUGUGAGGGCUGUGGCCAAGGGUGGCGGAAGGGUGGUGGUGAGAAAGAGAGACAGGAGGCCAAGCAAUGGAACAGAAGAAAAGCUCCAGAAGAAGGUCAUCCUGGCUCAAUGAAAUUGUAAAUAAUGAGAAAAAUAAGGGAAAAAACUUGAAGCAACCAUUGGAGGUGGAGAAGAGGUUGAAAAUUACUGGACAGAGAUUAGGGAAAUUGUGGGGAAGAGAAAAAACCUCGAACCAUUUCCUUAUUAAAGAAUAGAACAGAGCAUCAUGCAUCAAUAUAAAUAUUCUUAAAUGAGUACAGUAUAUUCACAAAUAGAAAAUUACAAAUGUUAAGGAAGUUUUGUCCAUUUCAUGAUUAAUAGGAAAAUCAAAACGUCUUUUUUGUGACUGAGAAAUUUUGUCUUCCCUGGAUUUAUGACUUGAAUCUUUCUCUCAAUGAAUUGUCUCCCAUUUUUCAUGAGUAUUUAUUAUUUACUUUGUUCAAAGUAAUUUAGCCCCUAUUUGAUGUUCAUUUUUCAAUAGGAUUUACUAUUUACUCUUUCUUCAUAUUUACAUAACUGGAUGUCGUUCAAAUUUGCCGAAUUGGACAAUAAACUUCAUAAAAAUGCUUCCACAAUUUAUACAAAAGCCAUAUGAUGUUUAUAUCAUGUCUUUAAAUGUAAAUGUAAAUUUCAAUUGAGACAUUUUGUCAAACACCUUGAUAGUAUCGUAGAAAAUCAAAGGGAAAGGCACCAUUUAAUUCUGGAGCUAAUCCAAAAUUUAAUGACAAUUUUUUUAAUGUAAACCAAAAAACUACUAAAUUUCAAAGUUCAACCUCAAAAAUAAAGUGCAUUCAAAAUUACCUUCAAAUUCACGAGUGUAAUUCUUCAAGUUUGAAUUUCCUUCUAUACUCCCAGAAUUUCUCUUUGAUGACUUUGAUUCAUGAUAUUCA
rnacentral:lncRNA from 1 species